GUCUGAGUAAUUUAAUGGUUAGAAUGGAUCUCUAACACAGAUCUUAUGGCGGUUCGAUUCCGUCCUUGGACA